UACGGGGGGAGCAAGCGUUGUUCGGAUUUACUGGGCGUAAAGGGCGCGUAGGCGGCCACUGCAAGUCAGUUGUGAAAUCUCCGGGCUUAACCCGGAAAGGUCAACUGAUACUGCAGGGCUAGAGUGCAGAAGGGGCAACUGGAAUUCUCGGUGUAGCGGUGAAAUGCGUAGAUAUCGAGAGGAACACCAAUGGCGAAGGCAGCUCGCUGGGACGGUACUGACGCUGAGGCGCGAAAGCGUGGGGAGCAAACAGG
rnacentral:rRNA from 1 species